AAUGGGAUUUUGGCCUUCAUCAAUAGAGGAAUAGCGUCUAGAUCCAGGGAAGUCAUGCUCCCCCUCUAUUCUGCCUUGGUCAGACCACACCUGGAAUACUGUGUCCAAUUUUGGGCAUCGCAGAUGAAGGGAGAUGUUGAUAAGCUGGAAAGCGUCCAGAGGAGGGCGACUAAAAUGAUUAAGGGUCUGGAGAACAAGCCCUAUGAAGAGAGGCUUAAAGAGCUGGGCAUGUUUAGCCUGCAGAAGAGAAGGCUGAGAGGAGACAUGAUAGCCAUGUACAAAUACCCUUAAGCAUGGGCUCUGUCUCUGUGAUCAUCGCAAUCUUUGAUGUAAACUUUGAUAUAAACAUCAUUCUUUAUCAGUGUGGGGUUUUUUUCCUGAAUUAGAAAAUUUUAUUGUGGACUUUCCAGGAAAAAUAUUUGCAUAUUGCUUUCUAUCACGAUUUCCAUAAUGCUGAUUAUCUUUAUUUAUAUAGUUACUCAAACUGAGUCGGUAAAUAAGGAUGUAGAAAAUCUUUCCAAAGUUUCAAGUUACAAAUUGCAAAUGUCUAGCAUGAAAUACCUGAGUUGUUGGUGAAAUAUCACAACUUUGUAUCUCUCAUGAAAUAUUCCUUCUCCUGCUUUAGAUGACUAGAUGAGUGCCAUGUAUUGAAGUACAUGGUGAUGCCUGACAAUUCUCCAAACCAUACAGCACAAUGCUGAUACCACCUUAUUGGUUUCAUUCCAGCCCCAUUUGGUCACAUUUGAAUGUCAGAAGACUGAAUUUGGAGACCAGGAUAACCAUGUAAAAGUUAGCCCUCUGCCUCCCAUGACCCCAAAUAUGUUAGAAGCAGGGGUUCUCAAACUUUUUCAGCUACAUAGCCCUUUUUGAAGCAAAGGUUUCUCAUGGAGCCCCAAGAAAUGUUUUAUAUUGUUGUAUAUAUUAUAUAUAAAGUAAGUAUAUAUAUCAGGAAUCAGCAAACUUUUUGACCAGCAUAAACUUUACAGUAUUUCAGUGGAAUUUUCUGCCAUGCAUGAAAAACACAAUCAAUGCACCCUCAACAGAUGAUCAUUCAGCCUUUGUAAUCAUAGUAAUAGUAAUAGGAUGAACCCCAGGGGCCAUCUAGUCCAACCCGUCUUCUACC
rnacentral:lncRNA from 1 species